rnacentral:rRNA from 1 species
AUUGAACGCUGGCGGCAUGCCUUACACAUGCAAGUCGAACGGCAGCACGGGAGCAAUCCUGGUGGCGAGUGGCGAACGGGUGAGUAAUAUAUCGGAACGUGCCCGGUCGUGGGGAUAACGUAGCGAAAGCUACGCUAAUACCGCAUACGAUCUACGGAUGAAAGCGGGGGAGUCGCAAGACCUCGCGCGAUUGGAGCGGCCGAUAUCAGAUUAGGUAGUUGGUGAGGUAAAGGCUCACCAAGCCGACGAUCUGUAGCUGGUCUGAGAGGACGACCAGCCACACUGGGACUGAGACACGGCCCAGACUCCUACGGGAGGCAGCAGUGGGGAAUUUUGGACAAUGGGCGCAAGCCUGAUCCAGCAAUA